rnacentral:tRNA from 1 species
GUAAUGAUGGCCAAGUGGUUAAGUAGUUGGAUUAACACUCCAAAAGUGUUUAUCUGUGCAGGCUCAAAUCCUGCUCACA